CAGAGGUGGCAAGCGUUGCUCGGUAUCACUGGGCUUAAAGGGCGCGUAGGCGGUGCGGUGCGGUUUCGGUGAAAUCCCUCGGCCCAACCGAGGAACAGCCGGGGCUACGGCCGCGCUAGACGGCAUCUGGGGACAGUGGAACUCCCGGUGGAGCGGUGAAAUGCGUAGAUAUCGGGAGGAACGCCGGUGGCGAAAGCGACUGUCUGGGGUGCCUGUGACGCUGAGGCGCGAAAGCCAGGGGAUCAAACGGGAUUAGAUACCCCGGUAGUCCUGGCCCUAAACGAUGCGCACUAGGUAGCGGGGGAUUCCGAUUUCCCGCUGCCGGAGUAAAAAUCUUAAGUGCGCCGCCUGGGGAGUACGGCCGCAAGGUUA
rnacentral:rRNA from 1 species